rnacentral:tRNA from 1 species
UCCUUGAUAACUCAGUUGGUUAGAGUAUCCGGCUGUUAACCGGCGUGUCGUGGGUUCAAGUCCCACUUAAGGAGA